rnacentral:rRNA from 1 species
AAAACGACUCUCGGCAACGGAUAUCUCGGCUCACGCAUCGAUGAAGAACGUAGCAAAAUGCGAUACUUGGUGUGAAUUGCAGAAUCCCGUGAACCAUCGAGUUUUUGAACGCAAGUUGCGCCCGAUGCCAUCUGGUUGAGGGCACGUCUGCCUGGGCGUCA